CAAGGAAUAGUUUAAUAAAAUUUUAAUUUUGGAGAUUAAAGAUAGGGUUAAGAACCUUUUCCUUGA
rnacentral:tRNA from 1 species